rnacentral:rRNA from 1 species
UGGGGAAUUGUUCGCAAUGGGCGCAAGCCUGACGACGCAACGCCGCGUGGAGGAUGAAGGUCUUCGGAUUGUAAACUCCUGUUGACCGGGACGAACGGGUCUCGUGUGAAUGACACGAGGCAGUGACGGUACCGGUUGAGGAAGCCACGGCUAACUCUGUGCCAGCAGCCGCGGUAAUACAGAGGUGGCAAGCGUUGUUCGGAAUUACUGGGCGUAAAGGGCGCGUAGGCGGCCUUCUUAGUCAGACGUGAAAUCCCCGGGCUUAACUCGGGAACUGCGUCUGAUACUGGAAGGCUCGAGUUCGGGAGAGGAAUGUGGAAUUCCAGGUGUAGCGGUGAAAUGCGUAGAUAUCUGGAGGAACACCGGUGGCGAAGGCGGCAUUCUGGACCGAAACUGACGCUGAUGCGCGAAAGCCAGGGGAGCAAACGGGAUUAGAUACCCCGGUAGUCCUGGCCCUAAACGAUGAGUGCUUGGUGUGGCGGGUAUCGAUCCCUGCCGUGCCGAAGCUAACGCAUUAAGCACUCCGCCUGGGGAGUACGGUCGCAAGGCUGA